GUUUGGGCUCAGCCGGGCCAGUUGGGGCUCGGUGUGUUUCUGCUGACAUGUCCGGUCUGCUACCGCGAUGGCGGUGGAAGUUGUUCCCUCCCGCGUUGCUGCGGUGCUGCUACCCUUGACCAUGUCAUCCCCUUCUUUCCCUCCAGGCCUCGUGUCUGAGACCACAGUGAGACGAAGAGGAUGGCUUCAAGAUCAUGGAGGCGCAUGCUGAUUGGUGCCAGUUGGGUGGAGCACUCCGAGUCGUCUGGGGUGGUGGUUAAGGCGAUCGGGAGAAAUCCCUGUCAGCUUGUUCGACGCCGAUGCGGAGACGCCUGCGGGUGUCGUCUUUCCUUCCUAAAGAGCGUUGGGGGUACCCCUACCCAAUCCCCUCCACAUAUCGGGGGAAACCCCAGGACUAGUUUGUGCAGUGUUAUCGUCGCUUCCUUGUUGAAGGUGUUGUUUGGUAUGCGGCGACUCGGUGUCCUAGGAAGCGGUGUUAUGGAUAAUCAUGGAGAAAGGGAGGCAAAAGGGACCAAGAGGGUACAACAUGGGAGAAUUACAAGUACCAGACUUCGUCAUAUGAGGUGUGGGAAAAGUGAUAUUUUCCCAACAUCUUAUAUUUAAGAUCUAAUUACAUGGUGUUGUAUCACUCGUCCAUACGAGUUAACGAGCCAAAGAACACCCAAAUCGGAGUCCGUAUGAAGAAACGGCGAGCAAAAUAUGAAAGCAUCUGCGAGUUUAGCGACCAUCGGUACGGGCAGACCCCAUCCGUACCAUCCACCCGUACUUGGCUCUGUUUGCUUCGUUUUGGGAAACAGAACAACAUUUGUGAAGGCCCGAUUGGCAUAUUCGGCCCCGAGCUCCGUCGGUUCGCGAAACCUACCUCUAGCGCCAAUAUAAAGAGGGAAGGAGCUAAGGAGAGGCAUCAUUCAUCCACGCCCUACGAGUGGAGCCCUGCCUCUCCGCCUCCGCCGUCUCCACAGCCGCCGCCACCAUCACCAUCUCCACCAACACAGAAGAGCAGGAGGAGACUAGGAUAUUGAUGGGCAACGCAUCGAUCUCCAUCAUCAUCAUCAACGUCUCCAUCGCCGAUCCCAUUUGUCUACUUGGUUGUGAUCUGAACUCUAUUAUGAUUUGCACUUGUAAACAAUUGUACCUUCAUAUUCAGUCCAUAAUAUUGUCAUGAUGUUGAUCCCCUUCAUGUAUGAGUAGUUCCUUUGUUCUUGGGGAGAUAUGGAGAAACCCUAGUAAUAUUAUAAUGUGAAAUAAAUAUGAAUUAUAAC